GACCCAAUGGUGUAGUUGGUAACACGCCUGCCGUUCUUAGCAAUAUUGUCCUAAGAGUAAGCGGGAGUCCCUCGUUCGAAUCGGGGUCGGGUCA